GGAAGUAGAAGUCGUAACAAGGUUUCCGUAGGUGAACCUGCGGAAGGAUCAUUAACGUGUUUGGGCCUCACGGCUCUUCAUUCCGACGCUGUGCGCCUUCGGGCUGCACGCUGAGGGAGCAUAUAUCCACCCCUGUGCACACACACGGUGGCGAGCUGGGUAACGGCUCGCCGCUGAUCUUUACACACGUCUAAAAGUCAUUGUAUGUUUAUUUGAGAUAAAAACACAACUUUCAGCAACGGAUCUCUUGACUCUC
rnacentral:misc_RNA from 1 species